GAUGAACGCUGGCGGCGUGCCUAAUACAUGCAAGUCGAGCGAACGGAUGCGAAUCUUGCUACUCUGAUGUUAGCGGCGGGCGGGUGAGUAACACGUGUAUAACCUCUCUAUCAGACUGGGAUAACUUCGGGAAACCGGAUCUAUUACCGGAGAAUAUUUUGAACCUCGUGGUUCAAAAGUGUAAGACUUUCUUGCUGUCACUUAUAGAUGUAUCCGCGCUGCAUUAGCUAGUUGGUAAGGUAACGGCUUACCAAGGCAACGAUGCAUAGCCGACCUGAGAGGGUGAUCGGCCACACUGGGACUGAGACACGGUCCAGACUCCUACGGGAGGCAGCAGUAGGGAAUCUUCCGCAAUGGGCGAAAGCCUGACGGAGCAACGCCGCGUGAGUGAUGAAGGACUUCGGAUCGUAAAGCUCUGUUAUUAGGGAAGAACAUAUGUGUAAGUAAUAGUGAAGAAAGUGACGGUACCUAACCAGAAAGCCACGGCUAACUACGUG
rnacentral:rRNA from 1 species